AAUUAUCCAAGAAAAGGAUUUUAAAUUGAAAUUAUACAACACAAUCCAAAAGUUUUGUUACAUCAAAUGAAUUUGAGAAAAAGUAGAAAACAUUGUAAAUCCAACAGUUGGAAGCAGCAAACUUCAAAGACAUUUCCAAAGCCAAUGGUUUGAAAUUCACAACGCCCCAAUUCUAGCCUCCAAAGCUGGCGCAGAAACUCCCUUUUCAAAUCAACAUCACUUCACUUAACCUGCAAAACCAACUCAAGAAUUAAAAAAAAAAAGCUUAUCAAAUAAACACUUAAAAAACUGGAAAAUAAUUGAUAAAAUAAACAGAUUAAUUUUUUGCACGAUGAACCAAGGUGAACGCUCAAGAACACGUUCCAAUAUCCAAUCCAAACAGCUCUAAAUCCACAGAGUAAACAUCCCAC
rnacentral:lncRNA from 1 species